UCAGUUCGGAUUGGAGUCUGCAACCCGAACCUCCAUGAAGCUGGAUUCGCUAGUAAUCGCGCAUCAGCCACGGCGCGGUGAAUACGUUCCCGGGCCUUGUACACACCGCCCGUCAAGCCAUGGAAGCCGGGAGUGCCUGAAGUGCGUGACCGCAAGGAGCGUCCUAAGGCAAUACCGGUGACUGGGGCUAAGUCGUAACAAGGUAUC
rnacentral:rRNA from 1 species